rnacentral:sRNA from 1 species
CGCACAGGCAGGAGGCAUGGCUAAGCCUAGACUUUUAGAGCUGAAAGAAAUAAUACGAUCCAUCUUGUUCAAGACACUCAUCUUACAGGCAAGGAGUUUG